CCCCUCGUAGCUCAAUGGUAGAGCAGUUGCCUUUUAAGCAAUUGACGGAAGUUCGAUUCUUCCCGGGGGGA
rnacentral:tRNA from 1 species